AGAGAGUGCGAGCGUUAAUCGGAAUUACUGGGCGUAAAGCGCACGUAGGUGGGCAUUUAAGUCGGAUGUGAAAGCCCCGGGCUUAACCUGGGAACUGCAUUCGAUACUGGAUGCCUAGAGUAUGGUAGAGGGAAGUGGAAUUUCCGGUGUAGCGGUGAAAUGCGUAGAUAUCGGAAGGAACACCAGUGGCGAAGGCGACUUCCUGGACCAAUACUGACACUGAGGUGCGAAAGCGUGGGGAGCAAACAGGGAUUAGAGACCCUGGUAGUCCACGCCGUCAACGAUGAGAACCCAGACGUUGGGAAGUUUAACUUCUUAGUGUCGUAGCUAACGCGUUAAGUUCUCCGCCUGGGGGAGUACGGCCGCAAGGUUA
rnacentral:rRNA from 1 species